rnacentral:rRNA from 1 species
GGGAAAGUUGCUUGCUACUUUUGCCGGCGAGCGGCGGACGGGUGAGUAAUGCCUGGGAAAUUGCCCAGUCGAGGGGGAUAACAGUUGGAAACGACUGCUAAUACCGCAUACGCCCUACGGGGGAAAGCAGGGGACCUUCGGGCCUUGCGCGAUUGGAUAUGCCCAGGUGGGAUUAGCUAGUUGGUGAGGUAAUGGCUCACCAAGGCGACGAUCCCUAGCUGGUCUGAGAGGAUGAUCAGCCACACUGGAACUGAGACACGGUCCAGACUCCUACGGGAGGCAGCAGUGGGGAAUAUUGCACAAUGGGGGAAACCCUGAUGCAGCCAUGCCGCGUGUGUGAAGAAGGCCUUCGGGUUGUAAAGCACUUUCAGCGAGGAGGAAAGGUCAGUAGCUAAUAUCUGCUGGCUGUGACGUUACUCGCAGAAGAAGCACCGGCUAACUCCGUGCCAGCAGC